GUCGGUACCAUGGCGACGCGCGGUGGGGCUGGGGUGGCAAUGGCGGCUUGGUCCAUCUUAUACGCCCGGGCCGUGACCACGUUCCUUCUGUUGUUCCUCCUUCGCUUCUUACAGGCCCAGACCUUCUCUUUCCCUUUCCAGCAGCCGGAGAAGUGCGACAACAACCAGUACUUUGAUAUCUCCGCUCUCUCGUGUGUUCCGUGUGGAGCUAACCAGAGUCAAGAUGCCCGAGGAACUUCAUGUGUAUGUCUACCAGGAUUUCAGAUGAUCUCUAAUAAUGGAGGACCUGCUAUUAUUUGUAAAAAGUGCCCAGAAAACAUGAAAGGUGUUACAGAAGAUGGCUGGAACUGCAUUUCUUGCCCUAGUGGCUUAACUGCUGAAGGAAAAUGUCACUGUCCCACUGGCCAUAUUUUAGGUAAGAAUUAGAUUCCUUACAAAGAAGUAGUGAUAAAUCUUCAUUCUUGUUUUUGUUUUUGUUUGAAAAGGGCAUUAAUUUAAAUAGUUAAGUGAUUACUUAAUAUUUUUGCAGUGGCUCAAGCAAUUCUCCUGCCUCAGCUUCCUGAGUAGCUAGGACUGCACACAUAACACCACUGCAGCUGGCUAAUUUUUAAAUUUUUUGUCGAGACUGGGUCUCGUUAUGUUGCCCAGCCUGGUCUUGAACUCCUGGCCUUGAGAGAUCUUCCUGCCUCAGCCUCCUAAAGUGCUGGGAUUAUAGGCAUUAGUCACUGUGUCCAGCCCUUAAUAGUGUUUAUAAAAAUUAUUUUUGUACAAAUUUAGUGAUACUUAAGACAUCAGCAGGCAUUGAGAAGAAAAUACAAAGUUUUGUCUGAGAUUUUUAAAACUCUUAAUAUUGUAGGAUUAGAUGGUUAUUUCCUUAACAUAACAUGACAAAAUAUGUCUCAACUCAAAAGCCAUCUUGAUGCUUAAUAUGGAAAAAGUAUAAGCAUUCCUAUUAAUGUCAGGACCUGGAAAAGGAUGCAAACUAUGCACUUAAGUAAGAGAAAAAAAUAUUUAUCAUUGGAAAAGAAAAGGUAGGCUGUUGUUAAUCCCAGCACUUUGGAGGGCUAAGGCAGGUAUAUUGCUUGAGCUCAAGAGUUUGAGAACAGUCUGGGCAACAUGGUGAAACCGCAUCUCUACAAAUAAAAAAAAAAUUAUUUGGUUACGGUGGCAUGCACCUGUAGUCCCAGCUACUCGAGAGGCAAAGGUGGGAAGAUCGCUUGAGCCUGGAAGGUCAAGGCUACAGUGAGCUGAGAUGGCGCCACUGCACUCUAGCCUGAGCGAUAGGGUAAGACCCUGUCUCGUGAAAACAAAAAAACA
rnacentral:sRNA from 1 species